rnacentral:lncRNA from 1 species
UGUUUUAUGAUGCAAUUGUAAAAUUAACAUUUUCUUUCUUAUUAUACUUGAAGGACCCAACAAGUAACAACAUGAAACCUUUGAAGAGUUAAAUUCCUUUAUACAUAGAUUACUUGUUCCUUUUCAACCCGAAAUUCAAUAGGUUGCUCCAAACUUUAUCAACACCAUCCUGAACCUACUUAUAAAAGACACUUGUAACUGUAAGCAAGCACAACAAAUAGUUCUAACCAAAUCUAGUAUUUAAUCUGUUUGGAUACAAAGUUAAAAGUAAUUCUAAAGAAGUUGUAAAAAACACUUUUAACUUGUACAAAAGCAUGUUUUGGAAAGGCCAUGUGGUUUAAAACUUCAACCCUCUACUGUCCAUAAAAAGAACACCCGUGAAGUUCCCCAUCAUCAUCAGUAGUAAUGUGAAGUGUGAAAUAUGAAGCAGUGCCUCCUGCAAAGUAUAAGAAAUUCCUGUACUCUAAUUAGAAACAGUUUUUUAAAAUAACAGACAGCAAAACAGGAAUCCGAUCAAUCCAGAAAGAUGGUAUCCAUUAAGCUCAGAACUUAACUCCUGAAAUUAAUUUUACCCCAAAUUCAAGGAGACAGGAAAGAGAGACAAUUAAAAAUAACCUUUCAUAGAAGAAGUGAUGGAACGUGCGUGAUAAUUAAUUUUGUUUCUUAACUAACACCUGCGUGAUAGUAACCUUAACCUACCACCCCCACCCGAACACAGAACAGGAAAAUCAAUAAUUGCAGAGGAAGAGGUAACAAAUUAAGUUAUUUUGGAGUCCCGCAUCGAGAAG